GUCCGGUACGGGGGGACCGCUUACUUGUUUGUCCGGCUACCUUACACCUUUACACCGCCUGAAAACCGCCGACUUGUCACCUCUACGAGAUGAAAGACACCGAGACCACCGGUGGGUCAAAGGCGACAACAAAGAUAUCGUCUGCCCACGGGGUGUCUGUACUCUCCAGCGGUUCCAAUGCCUUCAAACGUACAGCAACCUUCUUCUUGUGGGGUCCGUCCUCGUAGGAUACCCUGUUCUGAGCACUUGACAGAAAAGAACGAGGGGACGACGUUAUCUGCAUGACGUAAAGUUGUCCAGGUGUACCUCCGAGCAUGCAGAAAGGAUCUGUUUCCUUAUGAUAUAGACCAGAAUACUGUGA